rnacentral:rRNA from 1 species
ACAUGUAGGUAUCUGCCCUUUGGCCUGGAAUAACACGAGGAAACUUGUGCUAAUACCGGAUAAGUCUUUACGGAGAAAGCUUUAUGCACCAUUGGAUGAGCCUGCACUUGAUUAGUUUGUUGGUGGGGUAAUGGCCUACCAAGACUGUGAUCAAUAGCUGAUUUGAGAGGAUGAUCAGCCACAUUGGGACUGAGACACGGCCCAAACUCCUACGGGAGGCAGCAGUGGGGAAUCUUGCACAAUGGAGGAAACUCUGAUGCAGCGAUGCCGCGUGAGUGAAGAAGGCCCUUGGGUUGUAAAGCUCUUUCGUCGGGG